rnacentral:tRNA from 1 species
GGGCCGGUAGCCUAGCUGGAUAGGGCACCAAAAAACUUAGUUAUUGUUAUUGGGUUUUGUGCUUACCUCCUAAGCAAGUUGGUUAUCGGGAGUUCGAAUCUCCCCCGGCCCG